rnacentral:rRNA from 1 species
CCUACGGGAGGCAGCAGUGAGGAAUAUUGGACAAUGGAUGGAAAUCUGAUCCAGCCAUGCCGCGUGCAGGAAGACUGCCCUAUGGGUUGUAAACUGCUUUUGUAUGGGAGCAAUAAGCCCUUCGUGAAGGGUGAUGAGAGUACCAUACGAAUAAGCAUCGGCUAACUCCGUGCCAGCAGCCGCGGUAAUACGGAGGAUGCAAGCGUUAUCCGGAUUUAUUGGGUUUAAAGGGUGCGUAGGCGGUUGGAUAAGUCAGCGGUGAAAGUUUUCUGCUUAACAGGAAAAAUGCCGUUGAUACUGUCUGGCUAGAAUAUGGUUGCUGUGAGUGGAAUGUGUGGUGUAGCGGUGAAAUGCUUAGAUAUCACACAGAAUAUCGAUUGCGAAGGCAGCUCACAAAGCCAUUAUUGACGCUGAGGCACGAAAGUGUGGGGAUCAAACAGGAUUAGAUACCCUGGUAGUCCACACUGUAAACGAUGAUAACUCGCUGUCGGCGAUACACGGUCGGUGGCCAAGCGAAAGCGAUAAGUUAUCCACCUGGGGAGUACGACCGCAAGGUUGAAACUCAAAGGAAUUGACGG